GAUACCCUAGCCAUAGCUAGUUACAGUCACAGGAGGCGGACGCGACUGUCAUCGGGUAGGGAAAGGAGUUGCCGUACUGGAAGGACACGGGGAAGCUGGGCUCAAUGGACUUGCCGUCGUUGACGAGGCAGUCGUUGAUGCCGAGGCGGCGGAACUUGGCUGGGUCGAUGACAUCAUUUGAGGCGAAGUCGCCGCAUGCGACAUGGACGUCGCACACGAGACAUUCCAUGCAUGUGUUGGUGAACUCCACGCUGUAGGCCGGUAUGCCGCCCGCCAUGCUCGGCGCGUUGAUCUGGAACACCUCCAGGAGAUCCUUUG
rnacentral:lncRNA from 1 species